CUUUAAAAUUGGGGGUUGUGCAAGC
rnacentral:piRNA from 1 species